rnacentral:rRNA from 1 species
GACGAACGCUGGCGGCGUGCCUAAUACAUGCAAGUCGAACGAACCGCGACUAGGUGCUUGCACUUGGUCAAGGUGAGUGGCGAACGGGUGAGUAACACGUGGGUAACCUACCUCAUAGUGGAGGAUAACAGUCGGAAACGACUGCUAAUACCGCAUAGGACAUAGGAUCACAUGAUCCAGUGAGGAAAGGUGGCGCAAGCUAUCGCUAAGAGAUGGACCCGCGGUGCAUUAGCUAGUUGGUAGGGUAAAGGCCUACCAAGGCGAUGAUGCAUAGCCGACCUGAGAGGGUGAUCGGCCACAUUGGGACUGAGACACGGCCCAAACUCCUACGGGAGGCAGCAGUAGGGAAUCUUCCGCAAUGGACGCAAGUCUGACGGAGCAACGCCGCGUGAGUGAAGAAGGUCUUCGGAUCGUAAAGCUCUGUUGUUAGAGAAGAACAGCGCAUAGAGUAACUGUUAUGCGUGUGACGGUAUCUAACCAGAAAGCCACGGCUAACUACGUG